UACGAAGGGGGCUAGCGUUGCUCGGAAUCACUGGGCGUAAAGCGCACGUAGGCGGCUUCUUAAGUCAGGGGUGAAAUCCUGGAGCCCAACUCCAGAACUGCCUUUGAUACUGAGAAGCUUGAGUCCGGGAGAGGUGAGUGGAACUGCGAGUGUAGAGGUGAAAUUCGUAGAUAUUCGCAAGAACACCAGUGGCGAAGGCGGCUCACUGGCCCGGUACUGACGCUGAGGUGCGAAAGCGUGGGGAGCAAACAGG
rnacentral:rRNA from 1 species